rnacentral:pre_miRNA from 1 species
ACAGGGCUCUGACCUAUGAAUUGACAGCCAGUGCUCUUGUCUCCCUCUGGCUGCCAAUUCCAUAGGUCACAGGUAUGU